CAAGUCGAGCGGAGUGAGGNGCUUGCACCUUAUCUUAGCGGCGGACGGGUGAGUAAUGCUUAGGAAUCUGCCUAUUAGUGGGGGACAACAUUCCGAAAGGAAUGCUAAUACCGCAUACGUCCUACGGGAGAAAGCAGGGGAUCUUCGGACCUUGCGCUAAUAGAUGAGCCUAAGUCGGAUUAGCUAGUUGGUGGGGUAAAGGCCUACCAAGGCGACGAUCUGUAGCGGGUCUGAGAGGAUGAUCCGCCACACUGGGACUGAGACACGGCCCAGACUCCUACGGGAGGCAGCAGUGGGGAAUAUUGGACAAUGGGGGGAACCCUGAUCCAGCCAUGCCGCGUGUGUGAAGAAGGCCUUAUGGUUGUAAAGCACUUUAAGCGAGGAGGAGGCUACUGAGACUAAUACUCUUGGAUAGUGGACGUUACUCGCAGAAUAAGCACCGGCUAACUCUGUGCCAGCAGCCGCGGUAAUACAGAGGGUGCGAGCGUUAAUCGGAUUUACUGGGCGUAAAGCGUGCGUAGGCGGCUUUUUAAGUCGGAUGUGAAAUCCCCGAGCUUAACUUGGGAAUUGCAUUCGAUACUGGGAAGCUAGAGUAUGGGAGAGGAUGGUAGAAUUCCAGGUGUAGCGGUGAAAUGCGUAGAGAUCUGGAGGAAUACCGAUGGCGAAGGCAGCCAUCUGGCCUAAUACUGACGCUGAGGUACGAAAGCAUGGGGAGCAAACAGGAUUAGAUACCCCUGGUAGUCCAUGCCGUAAACGAUGUCUACUAGCCGUUGGGGGCCUUUGAGGGCUUUAGUGGCGCAGCUAACGCG
rnacentral:rRNA from 1 species